rnacentral:lncRNA from 1 species
AAAACAUACGGGUGACUCUUGAUUUUGACAUCCUGGAGUAGCUUACUGUCCCUCAAUUUCACAGCCUAUCUGAAAUUUCUCAUCAUCCCAUUAUUUGAUGUUUAACACUCUCCUUAAUGUGGUGGAGUUUCUUGCCUUCAGACAGAACUCCUGACCUGCUAAAAGGGCGUUGGAGAUGGAAGCUGCAACAGGACUUGUGACUUUUCUAAUUUACAGCUCUCCUAGAGAUAAAGCUAAUUGGAUUUGCAGCGGUGGGCUUUUGUUUUCCUCUUUAAGAACUCCAUUUCCUACAGUUAUGUCCGUUUGGGGUGCUGAUGUGCUACUGGGUGGCACCUUCUUGUGCCUGUUGGUUUUGGUAAAUCCAAUUUCCAGCCCCUUUCUUACUCCAUUCUCCCGGUUUGGUACCUGGGGACCUGCCCACGUCAACUAAAGCAUAAGCUGACUCUGAAGUGCGCCCUGCUGAGAUCUAGGCAGUCAUUUCCCACCUCGUCCUGCCCGUGCCAGGUUAACAAGCCAUACGCAUACAUUCGGAGGGUAGCAGCCCACAGGUCCAUUUGGAACCUGGAUAUUUGUACUUCCUGCCUCUAAACCCAACCCGGAAGUUGGGUUCAGACUGUACUUCUGUCGUCAGCAAAACUAUCGUCUUUUAAGAACCAGUUCCUUCAGAAAACCUUCGAGCAAAUAAGAGAAAAUUGAGUUCUUGGAUUCCUCCUCCAAGCCAUCACUGGAUGUUUUUAGAAGACAGAACUGUUCAUUUGGAUCAGAAAAGUGACCUUAAAGGAAGUUAGAACUGACUAAAAUAGCUUGGUUGCUUUUCCACGUAGGCGUAACAGACAGAAAUAAUACUUUGCAUUCACAUUUCUAAGUUUCAUAUUAUAUAUUUCCUACAGAUACAUUCUCUGAUUUGGGCUUAUUGUUUAGUAAACUCUGAGUCCCCCAAAGGCUGGGCUAUGUGGUCUGGGUUCUGUUUAGUAAUUCGCAUUCAUAUUCAUGGUUAGUCUUCACUGUGUGGUCAUCCCUCUGUCUACCGAUGAAGAAGUAUAAGCUUGGAAUACCAUGGUCCAUGCACAUCUUUGUUAGUCACUGAGCUGAAACUGUGUGCUGGGUCAGCAUAUAUUAUUCAUCAGGGUAAGAGUAAUCUAACCCUUGCCUCCGGAAGAAAAUACUAAUGCUGAGAUAGCGUUCCCAGUUGUUUUUGAAAAGCUGCUGUAAAUGUUAUCCCUAAAAAAGGGAUGCCUUAGGAAUUAGGAAUUCUGUGUCAUUGUGUAAAACCAGUGAUUAUGAGUUAGAAAAUGUUGAAGUCAAUCUCUCACCUCGGGAACAAGGGCAUAACUAGUUAGCUAUAACUCCCCACCCUCACCAGGCCUACCCGGCGGUAGCGUUUCCUCUUCAGAGCUCAGGGGAAUUGGGUAGAUGAUGGUGAUGGUGAUAAUGAUGGUGAUGAUGGUGGUGAUGAUGAUGAUGAUGAUGAUAAUCCUGUUGGGAUAAUGGCUUCUGCCCCUUGGUGACCCAGAGGAAGCACACUUGUGAUACUGUGUGUGCUUUUUACUGUGAAACCCAGAAAUCAACAUCAAUAACUGGACUGCACUGGAGGGUAGCUUGCUUUUUACCCAGUGGAAUUUUGGAGCGAUGGUCAUGUUUCCGUCGUUCCUGGGUGUCUUCCUUCUUCCUGGUCUACAGGAUGCAUUUAUCCAUAGGGUUUCACUGUCAUUAUGACUGGUCUAAAACCUUUAUGUGUACCGUGCUAGCUUGAAAUUCAG